rnacentral:tRNA from 1 species
GACGAUUUGGUCGAGUGGUCUAAGGCACCAGAUUUAGGCUCUGGUUUGAAAGGGCGUGGGUUCAAACCCCAUUGCAGUCA